rnacentral:lncRNA from 1 species
UUUGAAGUACUGAAACUCUGAAGAAUUAAAGAUUCAAACUUUUACAAGCUCUCAAGAUGUGUGAGUCCGUAUCAACUUCAAGAUCAACAUCUUCUGAAAGACUGAAGAUUUAGAAAUUAAACUUUUCUUGAAUUCCAGAAGGUCGAAGUUCAGAUCAACUUGCAACUGCAACAUCCUGAAGAUCUAAAACUAAGAAGUUCUAAAGUUUAUUUUUAUCUUGUAUUAGAGAGAAAGCAUCAAAAGAGUAAAUACUAGAGAUUGUAUCCGCUAUAUUCAUCAAUAGAUCAAAGUUCAAUUCCACGAAAUAUAGUUCUUCGAAAUCUCGUGUGAACAUGCAUCUCAACUAAU